rnacentral:rRNA from 1 species
GACGAACGCUGGCGGCGUGCUUAACACAUGCAAGUCGAACGGUGAAGCCCCAGCUUGCUGGAGUGGAUCAGUGGCGAACGGGUGAGUAACACGUGAGCAACCUGCCCCUGACUCUGGAAUAAGCGCUGGAAACGGCGUCUAAUACUGGAUACGAGAAGGGUCCGCAUGGGCACUUUCUGGAAAGUUUUUCGGUUGGGGAUGGGCUCGCGGCCUAUCAGCUUGUUGGUGAGGUAAUGGCUCACCAAGGCGACGACGGGUAGCCGGCCUGAGAGGGCGACCGGACACACUGGGACGGAGACACGGCCCAGACGCGGACGGGAGGCAGCAGUGGGGAAGAGUGGAAAAUGGGCGAAAGCCUGAGACAGCAAGGACGCGGGAGUGAUGAAGGGCUGAGGGUUGUAAAGCUAUUUGAACAGGGAGGAUAAUGACAGUACAGGGAGAAUAAGCUCCGGCUAACGCCGUG